rnacentral:rRNA from 1 species
CUACGGGAUGCUGCAGUGAGGAAUAUUGGACAAUGGGGGGAACCCUGAUGCAGCAACGCCGCGUGGAGGAUGACGCAUUUCGGUGUGUAAAUUCCUUUUAUAUGUCAAGAAAAUGACGGUAGCAUAUGAAUAAGCACCGGCUAACUCCGUGCCAGCAGCCGCGGUAAUACGGAGGGUGCAAGCGUUACUCGGAAUCACUGGGCGUAAAGGACGCGUAGGCGGGUUGGAAAGUCAGGUGUGAAAUCCUACAGCUUAACUGUAGAACUGCACUUGAAACUUCUAAUCUAGAGUAUGGGAGGGGGAGAUGGAAUUAGUGGUGUAGGGGUAAAAUCCGUAGAUAUCACUAGGAAUACCUAAAGCGAAGGCGAUCUCCUGGAACAUUACUGACGCUAAGGCGUGAAAGCGUGGGGAGCAAACAGGAUUAGAUACCCUUGUAGUC